rnacentral:rRNA from 1 species
CGGGAAUUUUGCACAAUGGCCGAAAGGCUGAUGCAGCAACGCCGCGUGAGCGAAGAAGGCCUUCGGGUUGUAAAGCUCUGUUGCCUGCGAAGAAGGGCCCUGUCAGGAAAUGGGCGGGGUUUGACGGUAGCAGGCGAGGAAGCCCCGGCAAACUACGUGCCAGCAGCCGCGGUAAUACGUAGGGGGCGAGCGUUGUCCGGAAUUACUGGGCGUAAAGGGCGUGUAGGCGGCCUGUUAAGUCAGGGGUGAAAGACCGGGGCUCAACCCCGGGGGUGCCUCUGAAACUGGCGGGCUUGAGUGCUCUAGAGGGCAGUGGAAUUCCCGGUGUAGCAGUGAAAUGCGUAGAGAUCGGGAGGAACACCAGUGGCGAAGGCGGCUGCCUGGGGAGUCACUGACGCUGAGGCGCGAAAGCUAGGGGAGCAAAC